CUACGCCAAAACCCACAUGAUCUGUAACGUCAGCAUGCGUAUUUGCAUACGAUACCACCGAGCUGGCACUGCGGCCGGCGCCGCACAAAGUUGCAAAGUGAGCCCGGCCCCCUCCGGCCGGCGGGGUCAGCGCGGGGCGCCGCGGGCGGGGGCGGCCUCAGGCCCCGGUUUGCGGCCGGGCGGGCGUGCGUUAACUUCGAAGUCCGAGCCCAGUAACGGACCCGGUGGAAUUUGCGAGCAGCGGAGGGGAGCUUGGCUUGCUCGGAGAACACCCGCAUUCCACGUCUGCCGCUCCAUCCGCUGGACAGCCAGCCAGCUCUGAAGACACCCUCUGUUGUUACCGUGAAUAAAACAGAAUCGUUCAUGACCCCAGGACUGAUGGCUCCCUGCUGACCUGUUGAAUCUGUCUCCCCUUGGACCGUUAUCCCACACCGCUGGAUGGGAGCGCAUCUGCCGGACCCACCUCUGAAGGUCAGCACCAAGCCCAGAACCGGGGCCAGAGCAAGUGCUCAGCAAACAUCUGGCAGAUGAACAAGCGGGCGCUCGCCUCUCCCAGCCACCGGGCAGCCCCAGAAGCAGGUGUCAUUGUGCUCCCGCCACCAGACUGAGAAACCAGACUCAGAGACGAAAGGCAGCACUUCCAAAAGGGCAGGAACAAGUUUGAGACCCUGUUUUAUCUUUAUUUGUCUUUAUUAGAGUGCCAUGAGCGUUCCCUCAUGGCCACGCAUUCUGUCUCUCGUGUAUGUUUGUGUGCGGGUUUACUUUGGCAUAGAUGCUCCGAUUCAGGUGACAAAUGAUGGGAGGCAGCAGAGAGCCCCACCCCACUUUUGUUUCCUAG
rnacentral:lncRNA from 1 species